GUGAAGACUGACAGGAAGGCAGAGAAAGACAUGCAACAAAUAGCAGCAGAUCAGACUUGAACCUGGGACAACCACUCUCAACCAUGCGGCAUAUGGUUGCCUGCUCAUCCCAGUGAGCUAAACCAGCACCCUACAGAAGUCUUUUAUUUUGACCAGGUGAUCCUCUGAGUGCGGAAUGUCCAGCAACAAGAAUUCAAGCAGUAGUGAUGCUCCCAGACUCCCCAGACACAGACAGCUCUCUGGCAGUUUCCAGAUGUUUCACUCCAGAUUCCCAACUCAGGUAACCUGUAGCACUGUCAGGGCACCAUCACGCCCAGGCAAGUCUCAGCGUGGUGCUGUAUAAUGGUGGUGUAAAUUGACAGGGGGGAAAACACAUUUGCAAACGACUGUUGCAAUACAUCAAUAUCUGCUCUUUGGGCUGGUAUGAGAUCAUCACAACAAAGGAGUGAGGCGGGAAUGUUUGAAUGCGGUACCUCAGGCACCAACUCAUCUCUGUCUUUCACCAAGCUCACUAGCUAACCUCUUAAGCCCAAAGGGUCUUUCUGAGGUUCCUGCUCGGAAAUGAUAUGUCCAAAAUGAAUAGUGUAUUUCUCUGCAAUUAAAAUCUCUCUGUAAAAAGUCUUGGUAUCAAUAUAAAGCUAACACUUGUGAGAUUCUAUCAGAGGUGUAAAUAUUACAGCAGGUGUUACUGUGUCAAAGCAACUGAUGCUAGAACAUAGAAGAUUUUUUUCCUUGCCUAAUUUAUUUAUGGAUUUCAUUGCAUAUAACCCCUUUGAAAAUAUGCUUCAGUAGACAAUAAACUCCAGAAAACCAGUUACCAACAUAUAAACAUUAUCUGUGAAAAGAUUGAUGCUACUGAAGUGAAACACAGAAAUGUCACAGUGGGUUUUAUAAACUCAUAGUCAGGCGUUUUGCCAUUUGGCACAUUUUGGCACCAUCUGUGAGUUGAAAUUUCUUAGGUAUUGAACAGCAGAAACGAUAUGACUUUAUUUAUAUGCCUAAAAAUGCAUGUUUUUUGAAUAUUUUUUUAAAAAUUACCCACACACUCAUGUACAUUAGACCUUUUGUCCCUUUGCGUAAUUGCCAUUUGGAAAUAUCCCUUUUCCUUUAAACUCUGAGGGCCUGUAACUUUGGCUUCUAUUGGCCGAUUUGCAUGAUUGACCCCUCUUUUUAAUCAUUUGAGCCAAUACAAUCACGGUAAUGUCACAGUGUUUACAUCAGUUCCACCAAUCAGCAGCUGCAAGGCAGGAAAUACAUGUGAUGCUAAAUUUAUGACAUUCGCCCUUGUCCAAUCAAAUGUCUGUAACUGGGCAGAAAAUGGCGAUUUUUGACGGGAAAUGGCUCUUAGUCAUUGUGAGAGAUUGAGUUAGUCAGGAAACAAGCUGUAGUCUCAAAUGGAUGUUUUUGUUUUGGAAGCAAUGGAAAAAAAAUCUGAUUUCACAUUAUUGUUUUUUGUGGUCUUCUUUUGUGUAAAUUUUGGUCUGAGUGUGACAAAACUUGCAGUUUUGGAAUCUGUGAGAUUUCAACUUUUAGGAAAUGUAUUGUUUGAUUGGUUAGCCAGAGUUCCGUGCACAUGAGGCUCGGCUGUUUGUGUUUACGGUCAUUUCGCAAAAUGACAUAACUGUUUUUUGAAUUGUUUGUUGUUUUGCUGUGUUUGGUGGUCGUAGAAGAGGUUUAUAUGAACAUUUAGCAGAGUUUCUUACAUUUCUGUGGAUAUCACACAUGACGGUACUUGCAUAACGACCUUGUGUUACAGCCGAUGAAAUGGAAUCUCCACCCCUAUGUCCCUGGUACUGGGGUGCCAAGUAAGUUACUGUUGCCCUGGUAAACUCAAACAUUUCCACUCCACAGUCAAAUAGUUUUUUUGACCUGUGUUUGUGAUCUUUUCACAUAAACUUUCACCUGCCUUCCAGCUUCAUACAGCCUCCUCCUAAAGCCAUUAACAUAGUCUGCAAGGUUUACAGGAGGUGGUAGUGUCUUCGAAUCAUCCUAUAAAACUGCUAGAGAACCCCAAACAGUGGGACCAAAAACCAAUUCAUUUGGGCUAAACCCAGUACUGGCCUGGUUAACUUCUUGAGCUGCUAGCAUGAGCCAAGGCAGUCCCUCGUCCCAGUCACGGUCCAGGUUUGUACAAUAAGCACACAACAAGAAAUUCAGGGUUUGAUGAAACCUUUCAAAAGCUACCUGACUUUUUGAAUGGUAAGAAGUGGACUGGGCAUUUUUCACCUGAAACAGCUUCCAUAUCUCUCCAAACAUUUUUGAUGUGAAAUUUGUCCCUCGAUCACUCUGAACAAUCUUUAGGAUGUCAAAAAACAGAGAUAAACUGAGGCAGUGCUUUAACCAGUGGUAAUGUUGCUUAUCAGGUAGGCAGCCAGGUAAUAAGUACUUAACUACAUCACAGUUAAUAAAUACAUACAUACAUACAUACAUUUCCUGCUUUUGACAUAGGUAAUGUGGCCACGCAGUCAAUAAGCAAAUGCUCAAAAGGCGUGGAAAUUUCUGGAACAGGACACAAAGGUGCAGGCUUAUCUGCUUGAAUAGGCUCUACAGUCAGCUGACAAAUGUGGCAUGUUCUAAUGUAUUUGGAAAUUCUCUUUUGGCCCCCCAAAAAGGCACAGAACUCUAUCAUAGUAAUGUAACUACUCGUUACAUUACGUUUCUCCACAAAAUGACCCU